rnacentral:rRNA from 1 species
GUGGGGAAUAUUGGACAAUGGGCGAAAGCCUGAUCCAGCCAUGCCGCGUGUGUGAAGAAGGUCUUCGGAUUCUAAAGCACUUUAAGUUGGGAGGAAGGGCAGUAAGUUAAUACCUUGCUGUUUUGACGUUACCGACAGAAUAAGCACCGGCUAACUCUGUGCCAGCAGCCGCGGUAAUACAGAGGGUGCAAGCGUUAAUCGGAAUUACUGGGCGUAAAGCGCGCGUAGGUGGUUCGUUAAGUUGGAUGUGAAAGCCCCGGGCUCAACCUGGGAACUGCAUCCAAAACUGGCGAGCUAGAGUACGGUAGAGGGUGGUGGAAUUUCCUGUGUAGCGGUGAAAUGCGUAGAUAUAGGAAGGAACACCAGUGGCGAAGGCGACCACCUGGACUGAUACUGACACUGAGGUGCGAAAGCGUGGGGAGCAAACAGGAUUAGAUACCCCUGUAGUCC